GAUGAACGCUGACAGAAUGCCUAACACAUGCAAGUCAACUUGAACUUCGGUUUGGGUGGCGGACGGGUGAGUAACGCGUAAAGAACUUGCCUCACAGCUAGGGACAACAUUUGGAAACGAAUGCUAAUACCUGAUAUUAUGAUUAUAUGGCAUCGUAUAAUUAUGAAAGCUAUAUGCGCUGUGAGAGAGCUUUGCGUCCCAUUAGCUAGUUGGAGAGGUAACAGCUCACCAAGGCGAUGAUGGGUAGCCGGCCUGAGAGGGUGAUCGGCCACAAGGGGACUGAGACACGGCCCUUACUCCUACGGGAGGCAGCAGUGGGGAAUAUUGGACAAUGGACCGAGAGUCUGAUCCAGCAAUUCUGUGUGCACGAUGAAGUUUUUCGGAAUGUAAAGUGCUUUCAGUUGGGAAGAAAAAAAUGACGGUACCAACAGAAGAAGUGACGGCUAAAUACGUG
rnacentral:rRNA from 1 species